CCUCCAUUUCUUGGCACUAAGGGUGUUUUCUCGUACCCCUGUGUGUAAUGUACGGAGGAAGAUCAUAAUUCUCGGUGUUAUGUCUUCGGUGCUAGCUCAACGCCAUGAGCUAGUUCUAUCCUCAAUCGCUGGGACACGC